rfam:Dipodomys ordii contig_1464, whole genome shotgun sequence.
GGUGGCUCAGUGGUAGAGUGCUUGUCUUGCAUGCAUGAGGCUCUGGGUUCAAUUCCUCAGCACCA